rnacentral:lncRNA from 1 species
AGCGAUUUCUCUAUGCUUAGUCUAGAGGAAUCUCUUCUUUUAUGAGACUUAUACUUUCCGUAAAAGUCUUUAAGCUACCUUAGACUCCUUCUUUAUUGCUCUCAAAGUUGCCAUUUAUAGAAUAUUGACCUUAAUCAAGGAUGUUACAUUCAAAAGACUGACCCCUUUAGACCUAGCUCCUCGUCAAUAUUGGGAAGUAAACUAGCC